CCGCUCAGAGGUAAACGGGUGGAGUUGAACUGUGAUCUCUGUGGAUUUAGCUGGUGAGCAUGGUUUGGGCUUGGUCAAAUUGGUUGAAGCCGGGAAUCUGCGUAGCAGCAGGUCCUCACCUUCUGGUGGGGGUGCGCGGUGCACUCAUCAAGUGUUGCGCGUUCCAUGUUUUUCGUGCCAGCUUGCCAGUGCACUUUCACAGAGUGGUCACCACGACCGGCAUUGCUGUCUGGCUGUUGUGGUUAAACCGGCCUUUCUUUGUCCUUGUGGCUUUGGAUUGUCGGGAUGGCAGGUAGCUCGCUAGCUUGGCUUGUGGCUCGCUGCAGGUUUUGGCUCUCGGGUGUAAUCAGCUGACCGCAUCGGUUCUGUGCAGUAUGUCGGAGAUGGCGGCUUGUGGUACAUGCGUGCGUGCUAGUUGGUUGGCCUGUCCGGGUUUGGUUGUCAUGUUGCUUGUGUAAACAGGCCUGGCGAUAGCUCGGAUUCGUUUGGCCGGCGGUUGCGUGCGUAGUGCUUUCCAGGGCCAACAGUCUGUGGUGUUG
rnacentral:rRNA from 1 species